rnacentral:rRNA from 1 species
GACGAACGCUGGCGGCGUGCCUAAUACAUGCAAGUCGAACGCAGUGGGGACGGGUGAGUAACACGUGGUUAACCUCCCAUCAGAGGGGAUAACACUUGGAAACAGGUGCUCAACCGUUAUUGAUGGCUGGACCCGGGUUGUAUUAGCUAGUCGGGGCGGUAACGGCUCACCAAGGCCACGAUGCAUUGCCGACCUGAGAGGGUGGUCAGCCACACUGGGACUGAGACACGGCCCAGACUCCAACGGAAGGCAGCAGUGGGGAAUCGUCGGCAAUGGACGAAAGGCUUACCGAGCAACGCCGCGUGAGUGAAGAAGGUUUUCGGAUCGUAAAACUCUGUUGUUAGAGAAGCGGUAUCUAACCAGAAAGCCACGGCUAACUACGUGCCAGCAGCCGCGGUAAUUC